UCAAAUUCCGAGUGGGACUCUGUCUCAGUCCAUUUACUUCUUUUGCAGAAUACCCGAGAGUGAGUAAUUUAGAAGGGACAGAUUUAUUUCUUGCAGUUCUAGAAGAAAGGCACUUCAGCAUCAUCAUGCCGGCAUCUGAUGAGGGGUUUCUUACUGUGUGACUGCAGAAGGUAUCACAUGGUGAGAAGCAAGCAGUGUUCCGGAUCUGCGUGUCAUUGCUGGGCAGGAAAUUUACAGACUGAUAUCUACAGACUCUUCUCUGUGGAGUCAUCUCAGCGGGUUUGGCCAUGAAAAUAUACUGCCAAAUGUCACAUUUAGAGGUUGCCACCUGAUGCAGUUUGGAACAGGAGCUCUACAAAAUCUCUUCAGGCAAAGACUAAGACAUACUACUUCUUUUGCACGCUCUGUGGUAAAACAUAACAGCCUUCCUUGGACUCAGACCCACCGCCAGGCAUAUAGUGGGCCAGUGAAAGCCGCACAACAAACAGAGCCAGAAUAUGUAGGUUUUAUUUAAAGGGCCCAGAGCUAUCCAUUUAAGAGGAACUUCUGUCACCCUCAUCGGGCUUGGAUCCCUGUGUUGGAGAACACGAAGGGACUCUUGGCUACAACAGUGAAUCAUCAUAUGCGAAUGCAACCAACCCAGUCUUUUAAAUCCCAAGCACUAGGAAGUGCGUCAGUGUUGGAAACUUGCAGCUUGCUUAUUCCAGUGAAAGAGCCAACAGCUUGGACGAAGCACCCCUCUCAAGGCUACAUUACCUCGCUCCUCGCCCCCAGACAACCCUCCCAGGGCCAGCAAGUGCUGCGAUACUUCCGCUGGAAUUUGCAUGUUUGGAGGAAAUGAGUUAAAUAAAGUGGUGUGCUA
rnacentral:lncRNA from 1 species